AUUGAACGCUGGCGGCAGGCCUAACACAUGCAAGUCGAACGAGUGGCGGACGGGUGAGUAAUGUCUGGGAAACUGCCUGAUGGAGGGGGAUAACUACUGGAAACGGUAGCUAAUACCGCAUACCAUCAGAUGUGCCCAGAUGGGCUUGGCUUGUUGGUGGGGUAACGGCUCACAAAGGCGACGAUCCCUAGCUGGUCUGAGAGGAUGACCAGCCACACGGGAACUGAGAACAGGCCAAGACUCCUACGGGAGGCAGCAGUGGGGAAUAUUGCACAAUGGGCGAAAGCCUGAUCCAGCCAUGCCGCGUGUGUGAAGAAGGUCUUCGGAUGGUAAAGCACUUUAAGUUGGGAGGCGUUACCAACAGAAUAAGCACCGGCUAACUUCGUGCCAGCAGCCGCGGUAAUUC
rnacentral:rRNA from 1 species